rnacentral:rRNA from 1 species
ACGAACGCUGGCGGCGUGCUUAACACAUGCCCGUCGAACGGAAAGGCCCUGCUUUUGUGGGGUGCUCGAGUGGCGAACGGGUGAGUAACACGUGAGUAACCUGCCCUUGACUUUGGGAUAACUUCAGGAAACUGGGGCUAAUACCGGAUAGGAGCUCCUGCUGCAUGGUGGGGGUUGGAAAGUUUCGGCGGUUGGGGAUGGACUCGCGGCUUAUCAGCUUGUUGGCGGGGUAGUGGCUUACCAAGGCUUUGACGGGUAGCCGGCCUGAGAGGGUGACCGGCCACAUUGGGACUGAGAUACGGCCCAGACUCCUACGGGAGGCAGCAGUGGGGAAUAUUGCACAAUGGGCGGAAGCCUGAUGCAGCAACGCCGCGUGCGGGAUGACGGCCUUCGGGUUGUAAACCGCUUUCGCCUGUGACGAAGCGCGAGUGACGGUAAUGGGUAAAGAAGCACCGGCUAACUACGUG